CAAAAAAUAAGGUAACCUUCUGUGACCAACUUCUUAAACUCUGCUACAGAGUUUGGUGGUGCUGUAUUCUUCAAAUUUGAUUGAAAAACUCAAAGAGCCACCUCAGCAGUCUGGAGAGCUCAGCUAAGUUAUCCCUCAGCUUGGUGACACUGAGAAGACCAAAAAGUACUGCCCUGCAGGGAGGAAAAACAGGAGGCUUCCAGCUGCUUCGGCUACAGUCAAGACCUAGCUGAUGAUCUCAAGGGCUCGAACUGUGUGUUUGUCACUGCACAUUGGGAACAUCCCCGUUUGUUCUGAGCUCUGUGAUCUGCUUCUGCAGUUUUCUAGUUUGCUCUGCCUGUGCUCCACUCUUCCUGCUCUGGUUUCACAGCUGCCAGAAAACCCUCAUCACAAAACAGAAUAAAUGCGUGAAACCUC